rnacentral:misc_RNA from 1 species
GAAGAAUUAUAUUUCAAUUGAAGAAUUACUUGUUUGCCAUUCACAUCUUUUGUAGCUUGCCUGUAUUUGCCAUCUCGAUUGUGUAGAAGUCCUUCAAUGAGCUAGUUGAAUAAUUUGUCAUUCAGGUUUUUGGCAAAGGUCGGCAUUUAUCGAGGUAGAACCUAAUACAAGCCAAGAAGUUUGAUAUUUCAAGGGCUGAAAUGUGGUUGCGGGGCGAUGAAAAAGCAUCGGCCCAUUUUGUUUUCCCAUUGUUAUAUAGUUAUGAGAUUUGCACCGAUACAUUGAGCAAAGGUAUAACAAUUGGAUGGUUCAUUGCACAAAUUUAAAGCACCUUGGUUCUAAAGCAACGGGAGCUGCAGUUGGCUUGGCGGUUGAACGUCUAACCAGUAAAAUUUGCAGUUCAGCCCCUGAGUGCGGUAUUUUCAUUUCUAGUAGAAAAUAUAAUAG